CUUUCCAGAGAUGGAUUGGUGCCUUCGGGAACUCUGAGACAGGUGCUGCAUGGCUGUCGUCAGCUCGUGUUGUGAAAUGUUGGGUUAAGUCCCGCAACGAGCGCAACCCUUAUCCUUUGUUGCCAGCGGUUAGGCCGGGAACUCAAAGGAGACUGCCAGUGAUAAACUGGAGGAAGGUGGGGAUGACGUCAAGUCAUCAUGGCCCUUACGAGUAGGGCUACACACGUGCUACAAUGGCGCAUACAAAGAGAAGCGACCUCGCGAGAGCAAGCGGACCUCAUAAAGUGCGUCGUAGUCCGGAUUGGAGUCUGCAACUCGACUCCAUGAAGUCGGAAUCGCUAGUAAUCGUGGAUCAGAAUGCCACGGUGAAUACGUUCCCGGGCCUUGUACACACCGCCCGUCACACCAUGGGAGUGGGUUGCAAAAGAAGUAGGUAGCUUAACCUUCGGGAGGGCGCUUACCACUUUGUGAUUCAUGACUGGGGUGAAGUCGUAACAAGGUAGGCGUAGUGCU
rnacentral:rRNA from 1 species